UACGGGGGGUGCGAGCGUUGUCCGGAAUCACUGGGCGUAAAGGGCGCGUAGGUGGCGUCGUAAGUUUGUGGUGAAAGCCUGGGGCUCAACCCCAGGUCUGCCGCGAAUACUGCGAGGCUUGAGUACUGUAGAGGCAGGUAGAAUAUCGGGUGUAGCGGUGGAAUGCGUAGAGAUCCGAUAGAAGACCGGUGGCGAAGGCGGCCUGCUGGGCAGUUGCUGACACUGAGGCGCGACAGCGUGGGGAGCAAACAGG
rnacentral:rRNA from 1 species